rnacentral:rRNA from 1 species
AGUGAACGCUGGCGGUAGGCCUAACACAUGCAAGUCGAACGGCAGCACAGUAAGAGCUUGCUCUUACGGGUGGCGAGUGGCGGACGGGUGAGGAAUACAUCGGAAUCUACUUUUUCGUGGGGGAUAACGUAGGGAAACUUACGCUAAUACCGCAUACGACCUACGGGGGAAAGCAGGGGAUCUUCGGACCUUGCGCGAUUGAAUGAGCCGAUGUCGGAUUAGCUAGUUGGCGGGGUAAAGGCCCACCAAGGCGACGAUCCGUAGCUGGUCUGAGAGGAUGGUCAGCCACACUGGAACUUAGACACGGUCCAGACUCCUACGGGAGGCAGCGGUGGGGAAUAUUGGACAAUGGGCGCAAGCCUGAUCCAGCCAUACCGCGUGGGUGAAGAAGGCCUUCGGGUUGUAAAGCCCUUUUGUUGGGAAAGAAAAGCAGCAGGUUAAUACCCCGCUGUUCUGACGGUACCCAAAGAAUAAGCACCGGCUAACUUCGUG